rfam:Streptomyces fradiae strain ATCC 19609 contig0057, whole genome shotgun sequence.
GCCGGUCCUCGGUAGUGGCCGUCGGAGGCAGCCGUCUCCGGAGGCUUCGAUCGAAGACCGGC